rnacentral:ncRNA from 5 species
AAUAAUCCAUAGAGACAAGUCACUUAGUCCCUUUCUACUAGAGAGUGCGUGGUUGCUGGAAACGCAUAGGAAGUCUAAACUGAUACUACUCUUGAGUUUUUUAUGAAAACAUAAAACGGUGGCCACGUUAGAGCCAAUCAGAGGUGUCCCUCUCUUUUGAGGUACAUAAAUGAAGGUGGAACCACGUUGCGACGUCCUUUCG